UAAUACGUAGGGUGCAAGCGUUAAUCGGAAUUAUUGGGCGUAAAGGGUGCGCAGGUGGUUAUAUAAGUCAGAUGUGAAAUCCCUGGGCUUAACCUAGGAAUUGCGUUUGAAACUAUAUAACUAGAGUGUGACAGAGGGGAGUGGAAUUCCAUGUGUAGCAGUGAAAUGCGUAGAGAUGUGGAAGAACACCGAUGGCGAAGGCAGCUCCCUGGGUUAACACUGACACUCAUGCACGAAAGCGUGGGGAGCAAACAGGAUUAGAUACCCUGGUAGUCCACGCCCUAAACGAUGUCAACUAGUUGUCGGAUCUAUAUAAAGAUUAGGUAACGUAGCUAACGCGUGAAGUUGACCGCCUGGGAAGUACGGUCGCAAGAUUAAAACUUAAAGGAAUUGACGG
rnacentral:rRNA from 1 species